rnacentral:lncRNA from 1 species
ACCAACGAUCUCAAGGGUGGAUAUUAGAUUCAGUUGGUCUAGGAAAGUUCUUUUGUUUUCGGCUCUUGUAGCUCUUUUGUUCAUGCCUUCGAAAACCUACACUGCUCGAGUAUUAUUCAUCGUUUUUGGAUGAUCCAUUGGAAUGUUCCAUCUAUAUAUUUUAGCUUAAUGGUCACUAAUUCCGGACUUGAAUAAUAUUGGUAUCCGAUUGAAGAAAUCUAGCUGACAAUGUUCCCAACAAACACAAGGCGCGGGAGAGUACAGAGACACAGCAUGUAGCUGCAGUUAUUACUGCAGCCAACCCCCACUCCACUGUAAACGUUUUCACUUCACGUCAGCAAAAAGUCGUCAGUCCUUCUAUGGUACUGGUAAAUUGGGUAUGUGGGUCACCAUCUCAAUUCCCUUCCUGAAGACAUCAAAAUUCACCCUUCUUUCCUUCCGAUUUCUGAACAUAAUCUGUGUAUUAUGUCACAUAGUAGCUGUUAUGGUUGAAAAUUCAUGGCUUGAAUUAUCUAAGAUCAAGUUCUGAACUUUGCUUCAGUAUGUGAAAACCCAUUUGUGAACAUUGGAGGUCCUGAAGGACUGUUAUAAAGCUGCAUCGAUUUGAUCUCCGAUAAGGUUUCACAGACCAUUGAUGAACAUACAUGAUGAAAGAAGAAGAAAAGAAGGGAGAACAGACCAGAAGGUACUUUCUCAAACUCGGAUCUUAUUCAUGGUGUAUUACUAGCCAACAAAAGGACGAUUUCAGGGGCGAGGACAAGAGUAGAAGCAGACGC